rnacentral:rRNA from 1 species
AACGAACGCUGGCGGCAGGCCUAACACAUGCAAGUCGAACGGGAUCUUCGGAUCUAGUGGCGGACGGGUGAGUAACGCGUGGGAACGUGCCCUUUGGUUCGGAAUAGCCCUGGGAAACUGGGAGUAAUACCGGAUGAGCCCUUCGGGGGAAAGAUUUAUCGCCAAAGGAUCGGCCCGCGUUGGAUUAGGUGGUUGGUGGGGUAAUGGCCUACCAAGCCGACGAUCCAUAGCUGGUUUGAGAGGAUGAUCAGCCACACUGGGACUGGGACACGGCCCGGACGCCUACGGGAGGCAGCAGUGGGGAAUCUUAGACAAUGGGGGAAACCCUGAUCUAGCCAGGCCGCGUGAGCGAUGAAGGCCUUAGGGUUGUAAAGCUCUUUCGUGGGGGAAGAUAAUGACUGUACCCCAAGAAGAAGCCCCGGCUAACUCCGUGCCAGCAGCCGCCGUAAGAC